rnacentral:rRNA from 1 species
UAACGGCUUACCAAGCCGACGAUCAGUAGCCGGCCUGAGAGGGUGGACGGCCACAUUGGGACUGAGACACGGCCCAGACUCCUACGGGAGGCAGCAGUGGGGAAUAUUGCACAAUGGGGGAAACCCUGAUGCAGCGACGCCGCGUGACUGAAGAAGUAUUUCGGUAUGUAAAGGUCUAUCAGCAAGGAAGAAGAGAGACGGUACCUGACUAAGAAGCACCGGCUAAAUAC